rnacentral:rRNA from 1 species
AUUGAACGCUGGCGGCAGGCCUAACACAUGCAAGUCGAGCGGAUGAAGGGAGCUUGCUCCUGGAUUCAGCGGCGGACGGGUGAGUAAUGCCUAGGAAUCUGCCUGGUAGUGGGGGAUAACGUCCGGAAACGGGCGCUAAUACCGCAUACGUCCUGAGGGAGAAAGUGGGGGAUCUUCGGACCUCACGCUAUCAGAUGAGCCUAGGUCGGAUUAGCUAGUUGGUGGGGUAAAGGCCUACCAAGGCGACGAUCCGUAACUGGUCUGAGAGGAUGAUCAGUCACACUGGAACUGAGACACGGUCCAGACUCCUACGGGAGGCAGCAGUGGGGAAUAUUGGACAAUGGGCGGAAGCCUGAUCCAGCCAUGCCGCGUGUGUGAAGAAGGUCUUCGGAUUGUAAAGAACUUUAAGUUGGGAGGAAGGGCAGUAAGUUAAUACCUUGCUGUUUUGACGUUAACAACAGAAUAAGCACCGGCUAACUUCGUG